rnacentral:lncRNA from 1 species
GGCGCUUCUCUCGAACAAGAUGAGGAAGAUGACUCAGGAGUCCGGCACGCAAAGUCAGGAUGUAGGACUGGUGGUGACUGCGAAGAAGGAGGCGAGAAUAUCGGCGAUCGGAUAUCGGCAGAAGAAAUCGCUAUCUGAGGUAGAAUGCUUUUACUGUCACAGGAAGGGGCAUAUCAAGCGUAAUUGUCGAAAACUUCAGGAUGAUCUGAAGGAGUUAAAACGACAGAAGGAGCAAACUGUCGUGAACCAGGACGAGACGGUAUCAGCGACGGCGCAGACAACAGAGUCGGAGAUGAUCGAUUCUGAUGUGCUGUAUGUGGCGACCGGAGGUGCGAAAAUUUCGAACGAUGCGUGGGUGCUCGAUUCGGCGUGUUCUUUUCACGUAUGCCCGGAGAAGGAGUCUUUUGCCACCUAUAAGGCGAUCAAAGGUGAAAAGGCGCUGAUGGGGAACGGGACAGCGUGCAAAGUAUUGGGAGUCGGCAUGGUGAAAAUCCGAAUGCACGAUGGGGUCGUGAGGACGCUGACAGGUGUGCGGCACGUUCCUGGAUUAAAGCGAAAUUUGAUCUCGUUAGGCGCAUUGGACUCGAAGGGUUGCGAUAUUUCAGCUUCAGGUGGAGCUAUGAGGGUCCGAAAACGAGAUCGGGUCGUAUGCGAGGCGAACAAGCGUGGGAACUUAUACGUUCUGAAUGGGAGAAUAGCCAAAACGGGAGCGAAGACGGUUUGGGUUCCAAAAGUUCGCAGAUGUGUAGUUGCUCGAGACAGAGCGACGGAUGCGGCGACAUUGAGCUGAGGAGACAAGCUCAAGGUGGAGCUUGCAUGGUGAGCUCGACGUAGCGGUUGAAAAUUACAAAACAAACCAAGGUGGAGAAUGUUAGGAUUUGGUUAGAUUUGUAGUUAAAUCCUAUUUGGAUAAAAAUUAAUAUUUAAAUCUGUUUGAGAUAAAUUAAGAUUUAAAUAUUAAUUAGAGGAUAAACCUAACUAGAUUAGGAUUAAUAUUUAAAUCUAUUAGAGAUCGAUUAAGAAAGAUUUAGAUAUUAAUUAAAGUAUGAAUCCUAAAUAUAUUAGGAUUGGGGUACGUUUUAAGUUGAGCAUUAUAAAUAGGCAUUGUGGCUCUCUUUUUUGAGAGGAGUACGGCUGGAACCAUUAGGGUGUCGUACCAGAGAGAGAAAAAAGAGAGAGAGAGAGAGAGUUAUUUUAGUGCACCUCGUGCACGGGUGCACGCGGAGAGGUCUUCUUUGUGGGUUCAUAGAAGACGAGAGAAAGGUAGGAGAGAUUCAAAAAGAGGGCUAGGGUUGUAGCUACUCUGUUGCAGAAGAGGAGUCAGGUGUAAUCUUCUCUUAUUUAAUGAAUCUUAUUUUACCCGUAUAUUUUCUGUUUUGGUUUUUUUUUCUCUCUUUUAUGAUUGUAUCAGCUUUUACUGAGGAGACGGGUUUAUGGUAAAAAUCCGAUUCGACGCUUCCGUUGCGGAAUCCCAACAAUCGAUACCGGAUCCACAGCAGUCGGUAUCGGAGUGGGUUGCGGAUUCACGAGAUCUGGUACCGGGGCGAGUACCGGAUUCCCAACAGUAUGAAGCUACUAUUUUCUCCUUUAGAGAUAUGGUAGUAGCAAACAAAUUAAUGCGAUUCCUCAAUCUUGCACUCCAUCGUACCCCCGACUCAUCGGGAGAGCAUCUCGUGCACGUACUUUUUUCUCGCCCUCCUCGAGCCACUGCUAACAUCUUUAAUUUGACAAAAAUUCUGUUUUGAUUUUUUUUUCUCUCUUUUAUGAUUGUAUCAGCUUUUGCUGAGGAGACGGGUUUAUGGUAAAAACCCGAUUCGACGCUUCCGUUGUGGAAUCCCAACAAUUAAUACCGGAUCCACAGCAGUCGGUAUCGGAGCGGGUUGCGUAUUCACGAGAUCCGGUACCGGGGCGAGUACCGGAUUCUCAACAAAUGGUAUCAAAGCCGAAGGUUACCGAUCUGCGGGAGAGAUCGACGGAGAUGGCCACGAAAUUCAAAAUCGAGAAGUUCGACGGCAAGAACAAUUUCGGAUUAUGGCAAAUUAAAGUACGAGCAAUCCUCGUACAACAAGAGUUAGACGAGACGUUGAACGGGAAGGAGGCAAAGCCGGCGGAGGUCACGAUGCGGCAUGGACGAAGAUGGAGCGGAAGGCGCUGAGUACGCUUCAUCUAUCAUUAGCAGAUGAGGUUCUUUAUAAUGUAGCCGGCGAGACGACACCGGCAAAAUUGUGGAAGAAAUUGGAAGAUCUGUACAUGACCAAAUCCUUGACGAACAGAUUGUAUCUGAAGCAGCGACUGUUUACGUUGCGGAUGCAAGAAGCGGCGAGCUUACAUGAUCAUUUAAAUGAGUUCAAAAAGGUGGUGGCCCAGUUGACCAGCAUCGGAGUCAAUUUGGAUGACGAAGAUAAGGCGUUGAUCCUACUAUCUUCGCUACCAACGACAUAUGAGCAUUUGGUGACCACGUUGCUUUAUGGCAAGGAGUUCAUAAGCGUGGAGGCGGUCACGGCGGCGCUUCUCUCGAACAAGAUGAGGAAGAUGACUCAGGAGUCCGGCACGCAAAGUCAGGAUGUAGGACUGGUGGUGACUGCGAAGAAGGAGGCGAGAAUAUCGGCGAUCGGAUAUCGACAGAAGAAACCGCUAUCUGAGGUAGAAUGCUUUUACUGUCACAGGAAGGGGCAUAUCAAGCGUAAUUGUCGAAAACUUCAGGAUGAUCUGAAGGAGUUAAAACGACAGAAGGAGCAAACUGUCGUGAACCAGGACGAGACGGUAUCAGCGACGGCGCAGACAACAGAGUCGGAGAUGAUCGAUUCUGAUGUGCUGUAUGNN